rnacentral:rRNA from 1 species
CCAGACUCCUACGGGAGGCAGCAGUGAGGAAUAUUGGUCAAUGGGCGGAAGCCUGAACCAGCCAAGUCGCGUGAGGGAAGAAGGCCCUGCGGGUCGCAGACCUCUUUGGACGGGGAGCAAGGCCGCCGACGUGUCGGCGGAAGGAGAGUACCCGUAGAACAAGCAUCGGCUAACUCCGUGCCAGCAGCCGCGGUAAUACGGAGGAUGCGAGCGUUAUCCGGAUUCAUUGGGUUUAAAGGGUGCGCAGGCGGGCCUUUAGGCGGGGGGGAAACUCGGGGGGCCCACCCCCGCCGAGCCGUCGGAACUGGGGGCCUUGAGUGCGGCGGAGGCAUGCGGAAUGCGCGGUGUAGCGGUGAAAUGCAUAGAUAUCGCGCAGAACUCCGAUUGCGAAGGCAGCAUGCCGGCUCCACACUGACGCUGAGGCACGAAAGCGUGGGUAUCGAACAGGAUUAGAUACCCGAGUA